GAUGAACGCUGGCGGCGUGCUUAACACAUGCAAGUCGAACGAUGAAGCCCAGCUUGCUGGGUGGAUUAGUGGCGAACGGGUGAGUAACACGUGAGCAACCUGCCCCUGACUCUGGGAUAAGCGCUGGAAACGGCGUCUAAUACUGGAUAUGUCCCGUCACCGCAUGGUGUGCGGGUGGAAAGAUUUUUCGGUUGGGGAUGGGCUCGCGGCCUAUCAGCUUGUUGGUGAGGUAAUGGCUCACCAAGGCGUCGACGGGUAGCCGGCCUGAGAGGGUGACCGGCCACACUGGGACUGAGACACGGCCCAGACUCCUACGGGAGGCAGCAGUGGGGAAUAUUGAAAAAUGGGCGGAAGCCUGAUGCAGCAACGCCGCGUGAGGGAUGACGGCCUUCGGGUUGUAAACCUCUUUUAGCAGGGAAGAAGCGAAAGUGAAGGUACCUGCAGAAAAAGCACCGGCUAACUACGUG
rnacentral:rRNA from 1 species